rnacentral:rRNA from 1 species
AACGAACGCUGGCGGCAUGCCUAACACAUGCAAGUCGAACGAGACCUUCGGGUCUAGUGGCGCACGGGUGCGUAACGCGUGGGAAUCUGCCCUUGGGUUCGGAAUAACAGUUGGAAACGACUGCUAAUACCGGAUGAUGUCUUCGGACCAAAGAUUUAUCGCCCAGGGAUGAGCCCGCGUAAGAUUAGCUAGUUGGUGGGGUAAAGGCCUACCAAGGCGACGAUCUUUAGCUGGUCUGAGAGGAUGAUCAGCCACGCUGGGACUGAGACACGGCCCAGACUCCUACGGGAGGCAGCAGUGGGGAAUAUUGGACAAUGGGCGCAAGCCUGAUCCAGCAAUGCCGCGUGAGUGAUGAAGGCCUUAGGGUUGUAAAGCUCUUUUACCCGGGAUGAUAAUGACAGUACCGGGAGAAUAAGCCCCGGCUAACUCCGUGCCAGCCGCCGCAGUAA